GAUGAAUGCUGGCGGCGUGCUUAACACAUGCAAGUCGAGCGGUAAGGCCCUUCGGGGUACACGAGCGGCGGACGGCUGAGUAACGCGUGGGAACAUGCCCUAAAGUGAGGAAUAACUGCCCGAAAGCGUGGCUCAUGCCGCAGAUGAUCUUCGGAUUAAAGGAUUUAUCCGCUUUAGGAGUGGCCUGCGUACGAUUAGCUUGUUGGUGAGGUAAUGGCUUACCAAGGCGACGAUCGUUAGCUGGUCUGAGAGGAUGACCAGCCAGACUGGAACUGAGACACGGUCCAGACUCCUACGGGAGGCAGCAGUGAGGAAUCUUCCACAAUGGGCGAAAGCCUGAUGGAGCAACGCCGCGUGCAGGAUGAAGGCCCUCGGGUCGUAAACUGCUUUUAUGAGUGAAGAAUAUGACGGUAACUCAUGAAUAAGCACCGGCUAACUACGUGCCAGCCGCCGCCGUA
rnacentral:rRNA from 1 species